rnacentral:rRNA from 1 species
CAGUCGCCACGGGAAAACGGAGGGGGCUAGCGUUGUUCGGAAUUACUGGGCGUAAAGCGCACGUAGGCUGCUUUGUAAGUCAGAGGUGAAAGCCCGGGGCUCAACCCCGGAUGUGCCUUUGAGACUGCAGGGCUAGAACGUCGGAGAGGUGAGUGGAAUUCCGAGUGUAGAGGUGAAAUUCGUAGAUAUUCGGAAGAACACCAGUGGCGAAGGCGGCUCACUGGACGACUGUUGACGCUGAGGUGCGAAAGCGUGGGGAGCAAACAGGAUUAGAUACCCCAGUAGUCCCUGUCUCUUAUAC